rnacentral:rRNA from 1 species
GGAUAACCUACCCUUAGGACCGGGAUAACCCUGGGAAACUGGGGAUAAUACUGGAUAGGCAAUUUUUCCUGCAAUGGUUCUUUGUUUAAAUGUUUUUUCGCCUAAGGAUGGGUCUGCGGCCGAUUAGGUAGUUGGUUAGGUAACGGCUUACCAAGCCAUUGAUCGGUACGGGUUGUGAGAGCAAGAGCCCGGAGAUGGAACCUGAGACAAGGUUCCAGGCCCUACGGGGUGCAGCAGGCGCGAAACCUCCGCAAUGUGAGAAAUCGCGACGGGGGGAUCCCAAGUGCCAUUCUUAACGGGAUGGCUUUUCAUUAGUGUAAAGAGCUUUUGGAAUAAGAGCUGGGCAAGACCGGUGCCAGCCGCCGCGGUAACACCGGCAGCUCUAGUGGUAGCAAUUUUUAUUGGGCCUAAAGCGUCCGUAGCCGGUUUAAUAAGUCUCUGGUGAAAUCCUGCAGCUUAACUGUGGGAAUUGCUGGAGAUACUAUUAGACUUGAGACCGGGAGAGGUUAGAGGUACUCCCAGGGUAGAGGUGAAAUUCUGUAAUCCUGGGAGGACCGCCUGUUGCGAAGGCGUCUAACUGGAACGGUUCUGACGGUGAGGGACGAAAGUUAGGGGCGCGAACCGGAUUAGAUACCCGGGUAGUCCUAACUGUAAACGAUGCGGACUUGGUGUUGGGGGUGGCUUUGAGCUGCUCCAGUGCCGAAGGGAAGCUGUUAAGUCCGCCGCCUGGGAAGUACGGUCGCAAGACUGAAACUUAA